GCAUAUCAAUAAAGCGGAGG
rnacentral:rRNA from 1 species